rnacentral:rRNA from 1 species
AGUCCAAGUACACGUCCAGGUACGGCGGAUACUGCGAACGACUCAUUAAAUCAGUUACGACCCACUCGGCGGCGUUCGUCCUCGGAUAACCGUAGUAAUUCUAGGGCUAAUACGUGCGAAGGGCCCGGAGCCGCGAGGCGACGGGCGUACUUGCCGGACCACGAACCGACCCGGGUCGGGGCGACCCGACCCGAGACCGGGCGAACCACGGCAAACCGACGGAUCGUCGGCCCCGCGCCGGCGACGCGCCGAACGGGUUUCUGACCUAUCAACUGUCGACGGUGGGGUAGAGGCCCACCGUGGUAGUGACGGGUAACGGGGAAUCGGGGUUCGAUUCCGGAGAGGGAGCCUGAGAAACGGCUACCACUUCCAAGGAAGGCAGCAGGCGCGCAACUUACCCUAAUCUCGAUUCGAGGAGGUAGUGACAAGAAAUACCAAUGCGGGACCCUACGGGUACCGCGUUUGGAAUGAGUACGAUUCAAACCACCUAACGAGGAACGAUUGGAGGGCAAGUCUGGUGCCAGCAGCCGCGGUAAUUCCAGCUCCAAUAGCAUAUGUUAAAGUUGCUGCAGUUAAAAAGCUCGUAGUCGGACCUCGGGCGCCGGGGACGGGGCCGCCCCUCGGGGACGGCCC